UGGAAAAUGCAGCCUUUGCCUCAUCCUUGCACCGUGUGCUUUCAGUUCUGUCAAAUAAGUCAUUUUCGCAUGUGUUCUGUGUUGCUGUUACUUUCUUGCCGUUUUUUAGUGUGCACAUUUCUUUCGAAUGCUAGGUACAUAUAGCUUCAGAUUUCAUGCUUCACGGCCUAUAUUUACGCAUACACAGCUACACACGCAGAGAUGUUUCAGGUUUCAGUGUUGUCACAAACAUGGAAGCUUCAGUAGAAGCCAAUAGGUUUCAUGGAUCUUUUGCAUGUCACAUUUUCAUACCUAAAAGAAAAUCAGAAGUUUCUUCCAUUUGAGGCCAUCACAUUGUAUACUCGGAGGUAGUGUAGCACACGAGUAAACGUUUGAUUAGUGUAUGUGUUCCAUAGAUGAAUAUACACCCUCAUUUUCAUAAACACAUAAGUCGUAUGUGCACAUUUUUUUAGUAUAACCAGGUCUUCUGCAUAGUGCUCUAUAAAUCCAUGCAAGCUUUGUUGUUAUAUGUCUCGACGUGGAUAGUGUCAAUGUUAUGCCAAGUUUACAUCAAGUUCAGUUUUUGAUGCCAAAGACAAUAAACGUUCUUACAAAUCUAUCCUGCUUGCUUACUGUUUUUUCUCUGCAUUGCCUGCUUGCUUCUCUGCUACUUUCGGUGCCAUUUUCUAUCUAUUUUCCUCAUAUGGUGUUUGCUUAUUUUUCUCUGAUCUUCGUCGUCUAAUGGCGAUAAUUAAUUCCAACAUCGAGUGGCUUGCUGGGACUAGAUUGGGCAGGAAGGAAAUCCCCCAUUGCGCUCUUUGUUGUAGCUCUGUGUUAACUACUAAACAAAGCUACGAGCAUUGGAUCUGGGCAUUACUAUUAUGUUUAAGAAAUCAAUUUCUCAGUGAUUACGUGCAUCAGCGAUGGUGAAAGCAUGUUCUGUAGCUCCUUCAUUGGCUGCAAAUACUAGAGACUUUUCAAACUGAGCAGGCUGACUACCAGCAUCCAAUCCUGACGAAGACGAAAAGCAAGUCAGUCCUCACAGCUAGGCCUUCUUUUCCUUCCCGGAUUUGUCUCUAGGUUUGUUUCUUGAGCUAUGCCAGUGUUCAUAUACUCCACAUCUGCAUGUUUGGAGGUGUGUAAAUUUGAUGCCCCAGUCUUUUUAUGCUAUGUAAAUUUGUGAUAGGAUCUACAAAACAGCAUCAGAAUAAAUCAUCUUUCAUUUAAAAUUUUCCUGUGUUGACGUGCCCUGGAACAUAGCUGUAUUGUCUAUGCAGAUAUAGUCAUGAAUUUUACAGGGCAUUCAAGCAUAUCAGAUGUAAGUUUACAAACAUGGAUUCUAUAUGAUGAUGCAGGUAGUUGAUUCAGUCCUAGAUGUUACGAAGCCUUAUGGAAAACCUUAGAAUACUAUGGUACUAGAGCUUCCAUUGAUUUUAUUAUUUUGCGUAUUUGGUAAAGUCAGUGUUAUGUGUUCACCAGGUAUGUCCCGCUGAAUGAUGCUUCCGUAUGUUAUUUCAGCUUGCCAGCUACUCCAGCAAGCUGUUCUACCAAUGACAUUGUUAGUAGUAUUAGCCACAACCACCAAAAAUAUGAAAAGUAGCUUUAGUAGCCAUUUGCAACCAAACUAAUGACAAAUUGUUGAGACACAUGAUUGUAUCCCAACAUGGUGUUAUGAAUAAUGAUAGGCUAUGUGCUGAAUUUCGAUUAUCAACUCAUGGGUAGUAAUACUUUGGACUCUGUUGUGCUAAAGUGAGCUCUUGGUUUUGGAUUUUAUUAAAAUUUAAUGGUGCUUAUAUUGUUGGUAAUUUUUGGGCAAGCAAAAUCUAUCCUAACACCAUUGGGUGCAUAAUUUAGUUCAAGUGUUUGUCAACUUGAUCUUACGAGUGCAUAUCUCAAACAAGUGAGUCAAGACUCUCAUAUAUGAAAUUGUGUGUGUGCGGCUGUUUGUAUACAUCUGAAUGUAAAAUUUAGGUUCUUAAUCUCAGCUAUACAGUAUUGUUCAUGUUCAGCGCCAUGACAAUGAUUCUGAUAUAUCUACUGUUACGCAUCUGGCUAACUAAUAAUGUUGUAUGUUUUUUUCUUAUUUCCAGGAUACAUCUCGUACGGAUGACAUCAGAAGGUGAUCAGAGUUUUGAAUGAGCUGGCUGGCUCCAGAUUUGUAGUUCGCUGACUUGGUCACGUGGUGAGCCGCCAACCGUUGUCCUCAUGACGAGGUCCCAUUUGCACCAGGGAGUGGAUGUAGGGAGCUGGUCCGGAAGGCAAAAAGAAGGUGGAUUUGGGCUGCACUUCAAAUCUACAACCUUCAGCGUACCAGAAUUGUCGACACAUCAGAAGACCCAAAUCGCCCCAGCUUGGAAGCCACCUCCUGAAGGUUUUAUAAAGAUUAACACCGAUGCUUCCUUCAUUCCUGAAUCUGGGGUUGGUAGCGCUGGAAUGGUCAGGUGGGAUCACCUUGGUAGCGGUCAUGUUAUCUGCAGCCUGUCAGACGAGAAACUGCACCGGGCUGAAGAAGCAGAAGUUGAGGUUAUACUGCAGGGCGUGCAUCUGAACAUGAACUUUGGCUGCAUAGCAUCAUGGUGGGAUCUGACUGACAGACGCUGAUCAAUUCCAGGUCUCAUAACCUCUGUACCUCGUUUCUAAUUGUCACUGUUGAUUUUCUAUAUAGACCUCUAAUUAUUUUUUUUCUAAAAUGGGGAGCUUAGCCCCGGCUUAGAUAGAUUUCUGAAUAAUUAAAAAGCUUCAUGUCGUGUGCACUUUCAUUAAGAAAAAGUUCAGAAUAUACUAAAGUUUUUUCAUAGUA